CUUUGUUGCAGUAGGACAAUAAGGUCAUCAUUAGUUAGAACAGGAAGUUUGGUGAAAGAAGCUUUAGUAUCUUUAGAGCUAUUGUGCACAUUAUGAUUCAUUUAUCUAUUACAUUUUAAAAAGUAUAUGCAAUAAAAUAAAGUAGAGAUAGACUUUCUCACAAAAUUCAGCAUAAUAAUAAUAAUGUAGCAUGAUUAUGCUGACGAGUCUUCAUUACCAGUUCAUAUAAAUAUAUGUGACAGACAGGGCUGUGGGUGGUGGUUUGUCCCUCAUGGUAUUCCAUAGUUUAACAUUCAUGGCCAGCACCUGUCUGUUGAGCUGCGAUUGGCUCACAAGGCCGAUAAAUAGCAGCAGUGGGAGUUCCAUCUAGAUGCUGGUUUCCUGGUUUGGCCUUGGUGGUGGCAUGAGUUCUGACCCUGGGGCAUGAGAGCAGAGUUGCCACUGCUGUUUUGCUUGUAGUGUUUUUAGUCAAUGUUUUUAGUCAUUGUUUUUAAUGUUUUUUUUAACCAACCUUGACACCCUUGCUUUUAUCCAUUUUUAAACUGUUUUGUGCUCAUUUUAGUAACUUGGUGGCUGGACCUGGCUGAAGGUGGCUGCCUCCUCCUUUUAUCCUUAUGGUAGCUGGUGGGUGCCAUACGUGGUGUUGUGUAAGGGGGACCCCCCCCCCCCCCCUGUGUUCGGCCCAUAAAUUGGUGGUGUCGUGCUCAGGUGCACCUCUUCUGUUUUGUAUUUUCUUUUAAUCACUGUUUGGGUUGUGGUGUGUUUUUGUGUGCAUUUGGGCCCUGAGCAGGUACUCCUGGUGAGGGUUUGGAUCAGAGAUCUCCCUUGGUGGUGUUUGGGGCUACCCACCGGUGCAGUGGGGCUGAGGUGAUCUGGAGGCAACCGCCCUCAUUCAGUGUUGGAGUGCAGUCCAACUGUCUGAGUUUAUUUUAACCUUUUUUUAUGGAACUUGUGUCAAGUUUUUAAUAAAUUGUAUAUUUUUAACCA